GACGAACGCUGGCGGCGCGCUUAACACAUGCAAGUCGAGCGAGAACCGGGACUUCGGUCCCGGGGACAGCGGCGAACGGGUGAGUAACACGUGGGUAAUCAACCCUCGGCACCGGGAUAGCCCGAGGAAACUCGGAUUAAUACCGGAUAGCCCCUCCGACUCUCGAGUCGGUCGGGAAAGGUAGCUUAGGCCUCUGGCCGGGGAC
rnacentral:rRNA from 1 species